UGCAUUGAAGAGGAAGGACGUGAAAUACAUCCAUGGUUUUAAAUCCUCUACCAUCCAACAUUGUCCAACAACAGAAACAUCGUGUUGCCAAAAUCCCCAGACAUUACAGGACAAAGUCGUCAUCAUCUGACCAGACAAAAGCAUUCCGGGAGUAUCGAUUGGAGACUUUUCUCUUUCUUUUGGGGAUGGCUGGAUCCUUCUCACGGAAAUUCGGAGGAUGGCAUACUUUAUCAGUCCUAUGGCGGGUGGUUGGUGCUCUUUUAUAUGUUGCCAGUCUUGCCACAUUCUUGACACCUUCUGCUGUUGAAGUACCUUUGCCUCCAUCUAACAUGUGCUUUCCCGGACUUGACUGAUGCUUGUGUUCUUGAACCCUUUCCAGUUCUUGAAGAAGACUUCUGUUUAUCUAAAGUGGACUUCCUGUACCUGCUCUACUGUGAUCUUCCUCUGCAUCCGUGUCACUGUCCACGAUGAUUACUUCAGCAACUGCUUGUCCUAACAUGUGAAAGCAAAGAUUUACCUGUAACAGGAGUUAAUGUUUUGUCCAGAUCGGAUCCUUGGAUCAGCUCAUCCACAACCGAGACUUCUUGGGCCUGUUCUGCUCUUCUCCGAAUGGUGUUCUCACUCGCAGUUUGAUUUCGUGGAAUCGAUUCGUAAUCCUCAGAAUCUGAUACAAGUGUAGGAAGGGAGGAAACCUCUGGCGUACUCAUAACUUCCGAAUCGCUCUCCGCAUCAGUGUUUCCUAAAACCAUUUUCAAUUUUUUCAUUAUCACAGGGAGUGAUUAUUUCAUUAUGUACAUUAUUUAUUAUUUUC